GGAAAAAUGUCUGCACACCAUUGGACUCAAAAUAAUAACUCUUUGUGAAAGCAACGGUUUGAUCUGAUCUCAUAGAUCAAAACAUUGCCUUCAAUAGUUUUAUGAGGAGUUGUUGAGACGGUGUGCAGAGCUUUGUCCUUUGUGUCCUGCAGUGAUAUUUUUUGUCUUUCACUUGAGUACUUUUGACUGGAUGUGCACACACUUGGCACCUCUGGAGGUUUUAUACCAAUGACAACCAUACAAACAACUGAAAACACAUUGUAUAAAACCUUUUCACGCAAACAAAUGUAGCUCAGAUCAAAUCACAGAUCACAAUAAUGUGAGAAGUAGUAAAACCUUUCAACAUAGACAAACUGAUGCACACAUAGAAGUGUGUGUAAGAUGUGUUUAAUGCAGUGAAUGCUGCAUGUUUUCUAGUUUGCUUGCUACUGUUUAGCACACACUCUUUUUGCAAAGACAGACAUAACACCACACUCAGACACACUGUGAGGACAACAUUUACAGAUUUUCUGUUUUUGUUUUCUUUUUAUUCACAAGGAGAAGGAGUUGAGGAGGACUCUGCAGCUGAUGAGGCUCGUCCAGGAAGGUCAGGGAAGACGGGGAAAUCCAGAGACCUGGAACAUGAACGUCCAGAAAAGUAGGAGAAUGAGGGGGCCUGGAUUGAAGGAGGCAAGACAAAUGGGGAUACCAUGCCAGUCUGCAACCUGCCAAAGGUUCACUAAACUCUACUGCAGAAAAGCAGAAGACACAUCAUAAGAACAAGAUUUCUAAGUAUUUCUGGGCGAAUUUGGACUGAUUGUGAAGUCUGUGGUGGAGGGGAGCAGUGUAAAGCGGCGGCGGACAGGAGCAGAUGAAUCCAGAAGGUCAGCAUCCAUUAUUUGUCACCUUGUAGUAGAUUGGAGAAGAAUCUGAGUGUGCCAACGCUUGUUCCUGUCAACAUUAGGCAUAAAGCAGUGGUGUUUAUUUAAGUGGACAGGAAGAAGAGGAGAAAGUCAUGAGAAGACUGAGGACAGGAACGGAAGGAAAAGUGCCCACACAGGAAGGAGGAAACCCACACAGACACAGGGAGAACAUGCAUUCUCCACACAGAAAGGUCUGGGAUGACAGGUUCGAAAAUUAGAUCUUCUUGCUGUGAGUCCACAGUGCUUUCUGCAGUCCUUCCAUAAGAUCUUCCUUCUGGACCUUUGGAAAGUUCAAUGGCACUUCUGUAGGUCCUCUUCAUCGAAAGGUGUACCUGGAGCUUGUAUUCAAGUCCAUCAGUCACCUGCACACUGAAAAGACCAGUGCGAUGCCUACUGUUCAUUCAAGCCUGGAAACAUCGAAGCAGCUUCAUGGGACACAAAGGCUGCGAAGCAGAAGGACAAAGAAGAUGCAGAUAAGAAGACCUUGUUGGCGCUCACUCCAAUUCCAGGCCAUACUGUGUGAGAUACAACGUGGAUGGCACCGCUCAGAUGACUGGGAAGCCUAUCUGUCCCCAUCUCUUAAAAGAAGAGUAUCACCACAGCAGCCCCACUGUGCGCAUCCAGCCAGCCAGUUAAAGAGCUGAAGUUCAAACAGCCCCAAGAAAUGAAGGUUUUGCCCAAGAACUUCCACUCACCCUACGAUGGACUGGACCACAAGUGAUGCCCGUCACCAGCUGGAGCCUCACGCAGACGCACACACACACACUGAUGUACUUGGGCUAUAUUGGUUACAGUUGUAAUUAUAUUUUUGCAUUAUUUUUUAAAUACCUUUACUGGUUUUAAUGGUUUUAAUAUAAUUCCUAAUUGUUCAAAGUAUUAAGUCAAAUAUCUAGUAGUAGUAAAGACUCCAAUCAAUUGUCUCUCACAAAUAGUCUGACAGAUUCUUUAUCCUGGUUGUUCAUAAUAAUAAUUUUGAAUGUUGUGUGGAUUACACAGUAAAAUAAAUUUCAACCUUUACUGAUUAAACCGAUUUCAUUUUGUCAUUAUCAGCCAACAUUAUUCACAAUGUAAAGACAGCUUAUUGAUGAUUAACAUGAUUUCAAAACAUGCAUCUUAUUAUUUAGCUUAGGUAUCAUCAGAAGGUAUGCGUUCACAAAGACUUCCUCAAAAAUGUCCAUUUCAGAGGAAAGCAAUGCAGCGUUUUUUUAAAACCAAGUAUCUUAAUAGCCUGCAGAUGCCUUUUCAGAAUCAGAAGGAGCUUUAUUGUCAAGUAGUGUUUUACACAUACGAGGAAUUUGCUGUGGUGAUAAGGUGCUACACGUAGACAAACAUACAGUCAACAUAAAUAAAUGUGGAAAUAUAUAAAUAUGGAAUAAGAUAAGUUUGUGUAGCAACUUGUAUAGUGUAGUGUUUUGGGGUAACCUAAAUAUUAUCGCAGGAGUCCGGAAGGAUAGCUUUGGAUAAAUAAAUAAAAAGUUUCCAGCCAGGGAAUAAAUGACAAGCUGUGUUUUCCCUGAAUCGACUGAAACACACGUUUGUGUCAGGUUGCCUUUGGCCAGGAUUUAG